GUUUGCCAAGGUGUAUAUUAGAAGUUUUACUGCAGUCACUGAGUCAGAUGGCCUGGCCCCAGGCUCUGUGAGUUAAGCAGGCUUAUAAAUAGGCUGGCUGUUAACACACGCGACAGGAACGGAGAAUGAAUUUGGUGCCGGAGCGUUUCCUUCUGCAAUCAGGAUUCUGUGGGGGAGCUGACACUUCACAUUUAGAUCGCAUAGAAGUAAAGCCUCUGGUAACAGGUGUGACCUAUAGUAAGCUUGACUAAUGCUCACCACUGCUCUGUCCUGGCUAGCUUUAAUGGAAAAUCACCAUAAAGAUUAAUGCCCAUCAGAGCCCACUCUAAAUAGCAAGGCAAAAAAUGGUAUCCAAGGCAUGCAGAUGCAGACAGAACUUCAGAAGAAAUUGGAAACCCAGAUAUAAGUCCAUUUUCCUCUCAAUCAUCUUCAUCCGAAGACAUCAACCUUUUACUGCCAAAUGACCGAGAUCAGAGUCAAUAAAACAGCAUGCUAGACCACCCAGUGAAGACCUCUUGUUUAAAGACCUCACACUUUGCUAAUAUUCAUCUUAAAGGGUUAGUUCACCCAAAAAUGAAAAUGUCAUUUAUUACUCACCCUCAUGUCGUUCUACAGCC